UGGGGAAUAUUGCACAAUGGGCGCAAGCCUGAUGCAGCCAUGCCGCGUGUAUGAAGAAGGCCUUCGGGUUGUAUAGUACUUUCAGCGGGGAGGAAGGGAGUAAAGUUAAUACAUUUGCUCAUUGACGUUACCCGCAGAAGAAGCACCGGCUAACUCCGUGCCAGCAGCCGCGGUAAUACGGAGGGUGCAAGCGUUAAUCGGAAUUACUGGGCGUAAAGCGCACGCAGGCGGUUUGUUAAGUCAGAUGUGAAAUCCCCGGGCUCAACCUGGGAACUGCAUCUGAUACUGGCAAGCUUGAGUCUCGUAGAGGGGGGUAGAAUUCCGGGUGUAGCGGUGAAAUGCGUAGAGAUCUGGAGGAAUACCGGUGGCGAAGGCUGCCCCCUGGACGAAGUCUGACGCUCAGGUGAGAAAGCGUGGGGAGCAAACAGG
rnacentral:rRNA from 1 species